CAUGCUCCAAAUGAUAUUCUCUGAACUUUCACUCUCCAUUCUCUCAUUUCAAUUUUCUAUACUUCAUACUUGACUCCAUUAUAAGCUCAAUCAUUUUUUAUUUAUUUUUGCAAGAAGUUGAUUUGGAUAUUGAAGGAUCCACCACUAGAGAAUCCCCAGUGUGAGGAGCUUCUUUUCUUUGAUGAUUUUGUAGAUUCGACUUAAGAGAUCGAUCAAGGACUCAGCAUCAGCAUUCAAUUCGGAGGUCCUGACUAGCUACCUUUCGACCGUCUCUCUUGGUUCCAAUUCAAUGAUUUGAGUCAGCACGGCUCUCUAGCGGC
rnacentral:lncRNA from 1 species